rnacentral:snRNA from 1 species
GUACUCGCUUCGGCCGUACGUUUACUAAUAUGUGGACAACACAGAGAAGAUUAGCAUGGCCUCUGCUCGAUGAUGAAACGCAAAAUCAUGAAGUGUUCCAUAUAUUU